CCUACGGGUGGCAGCAGUGAGGAAUAUUGGUCAAUGGACGAGAGUCUGAACCAGCCAAGUAGCGUGAAGGAUGACUGCCCUAUGGGUUGUAAACUUCUUUUAUAUGGGAAUAAAAUGUUCCACGUGUGGGAUUUUGUAUGUACCAUAUGAAUAAGGAUCGGCUAACUCCCUGCCAGCAGCCGCGGUAAUACGGAGGAUCCGAGCGUUAUCCGGAUUUAGUGGGUUUAAAGGGAGAGUGGGUGGAUUGUUAAGUCAGUUGGGAAAGUGUGCGGCUCAACCGUAAAAUUGCAGUUGAAACUGGCAGGCUUGAGUACGGGAGAGGUGGGCGGAAUUCGUGGUGUAGCGGUGAAAUGCUUAGAUAUCACGAAGAACUCCGAUUGCGAAGGCAGCACACGGGACUGCAACUGACACUGAGGCUCGAAGGUGUGGGUAUCAAACAGGAUUAGAUACCCCAGUAGUC
rnacentral:rRNA from 1 species